rnacentral:rRNA from 1 species
AAUGAACGCUGGCGGCGCGCCUAAUACAUGCAAGUCGAGCGAGAAGACGUAGCAAUACGUUUGUAAAGCGGCGAACGGGUGAGGAAUACAUGGGUAACCUACCCUCGAGUGGGGAAUAACUAGCCGAAAGGUUAGCUAAUACCGCGUACGCUUCUUGGACUUCGGUUCAGGGAGGAAAGCGAUGCCGAGGGUAUCGCGCUCUUGGAUGGGCUCAUGUCCUAUCAGCUUGNGGUGAGGUAACGGCUCACCAAGGCUUCGACGGGUAGCUGGUCUGAGAGGACGAUCAAGCCACACUGGCACUGCGACACGGGCCAGACUCCUACGGGAGGCAGCAGUAAGGAAUAUUGCGCAAUGGGCGAAAAGCCUGACGCAGCGACGCCGCGUGGGGGAUGAA